GUGGGGAAUAUUGGACAAUGGGCGAAAGCCUGAUCCAGCCAUGCCGCGUGUGUGAAGAAGGUCUUCGGAUUGUAAAGCACUUUAAGUUGGGAGGAAGGGUAGUAACCUAAUACGUUGCUACUUUGACGUUACCGACAGAAUAAGCACCGGCUAACUUCGUGCCAGCAGCCGCGGUAAUACGAAGGGUGCAAGCGUUAAUCGGAAUUACUGGGCGUAAAGCGCGCGUAGGUGGUUCAGUAAGUUGGAAGUGAAAUCCCCGGGCUGAACCUGGGAACUGCUUGCAAAACUGCGGAGCUAGAGGACGGUAGAGGGUGGUGGAAUUUCCUGUGUAGCGGUGAAAUGCGUAGAUAUAGGAAGGAACACCAGUGGCGAAGGCGACCACCUGGACUGAUACUGACACUGAGGUGCGAAAGCGUGGGGAGCAAACAGGAUUAGAAACCCCGGUAGUCC
rnacentral:rRNA from 1 species